rnacentral:rRNA from 1 species
GUCGAGCGGAGAGAAGUAGCUUGCUACUGAUCUUAGCGGCGGACGGGUGAGUAAUACUUAGGAAUCUGGCUAUUAGUGGGGGACAACAUUUCGAAAGGGAUGCUAAUACCGCAUACGUCCUACGGGAGAAAGCAGGGGAUCAGUAAUGACCUUGCGCUAAUAGAUGAGCCUAAGUCGGAUUAGCUAGUUGGUGGGGUAAAGGCCUACCAGGGCGACGAUCUGUAGCGGGUCUGAGAGGAUGAUCCGCCACACUGGGACUGACACACGGCCCACACUCCUACGGGAGGCAGCAGUGGGGAAUAUUGGACAAUGGGGGGAACCCUGAUCCAGCCGUGCCGCGUGUGUGAAGAAGGCCUUAUGGUUGUAAAGCACUUUAAGCGAGGAGGAGGGUACUGGUAUUAAUACUACCAGGUACUGGACGUUACUCGCAGAAUAAGCACCGGCUAACUCUGUGCCAGCAGCCGCGGUAAUACAGAGGGUGCGAGCGUUAAUCGGAUUUACUGGGCGUAAAGCGUGCGUAGGCGGCUAAUUGAGUCGGAUGUGAAAUCCCCGAGCUUAACUUGAGAAUUGCAUUCGAUACUGGUUAGCUAGAGUGUG